UACGAAGGGGGCUAGCGUUGCUCGGAAUCACUGGGCGUAAAGGGUGCGUAGGCGGGUCUUUAAGUCCGGGGUGAAAUCCUGGAGCUCAACUCCAGAACUGCCUUUGAUACUGAGGAUCUUGAGUUCGGGAGAGGUGAGUGGAACUGCGAGUGUAGAGGUGAAAUUCGUAGAUAUUCGCAAGAACACCAGUGGCGAAGGCGGCUCACUGGCCCGGUACUGACGCUGAUGUGCGAAAGCGUGGGGAGCAAACAGG
rnacentral:rRNA from 1 species